CCGGGGCUCUGGCUGCGGUCAACCCGGGGAGUAAACAACAAACAACAACAGUGUGCGGCGCCCAGUACACGUAGAAGCGGGUAGCGGCCAGGCCCUCGCUCUGAGUAGCGUAAUGCAGCAACAAAAAAAAACACACACACACACACUUACUGAGGUGCAGGAAGAAAGCACUGGCGUACUAUGUCAUAAUUUAAAAGGCCAGCGUAUCAUGCUAGGCCUGUCAAACGAUAUUGGGAGAUAAUGCAGCGGGCCGUGUACGAUAAAAGGACACAAUAAAAACAGCACGCCAGGUGGGUGGGAUUUGAAGUGUGUGGCUGGGGAGGGAGGCGAGUGGUCGGAGGAGUUGUCGGUAUGGGCCAUUGCGAUGGCCAUCCCCCUUUUUUUUUCUUCAAAACCACUCAAGAUAAGCGUACGCGAAUGUCAGAUGGUCGAUACGGAAAACGAUCGAAAACAAAAAGAAAAUGUCAUUUUGCUACUAUCACUAAGAAAAUGUCGCCACAUAGGAAGGGUGGGAGCUCCCCUUCUCGACUUCAGAUGACUGUGAGAAUUCUUCCAAUUUGAAUAGCGUCCCUCAUAUUCAGUUCUUCGACAAUGAGACAGGAUGUUAAGGUGGUGUAAUACUUAAGUCGAAUUCCCAUCUCCAGAAUUUUGGAAGAUUCUCCAAAUCUCAUCUCCAGAUUCCCAACCCGACCGUAGAUAUGUCGUUACACAACAGCAAAAAGAUCUCCAAAACUAAUACACGAGUUUCAGAGUUCCAGAAACAUUGUUGUCCCUUAAAAAAAAAGUAAAAUUUUCGUUCAAAUAAGUGUCAACACGUUAUUUGUUAUUUGUACAGAGAUUUUUACUUGAUUUUACUACCCCAUAUCGGUCCUGUAACUGAUCAUGAACCUAGAACCAAUCAUGAAUUCAUACCGGCCAUGUAACUGAUCAUAAAUCCACACCAGUCCUGGAACCGAUCUUAAACCGGUCCAAGAACCGAUCAAAAACUCACACUGGUACUGGAACCGGUCAUGAACCCAAACCAGUACUGGAACCAAUCAUGAACUCAUCCUGAUCUUGAAACCGAUCAUGAAUCCAUACUGGUGCUGGAACUGAUAAUGCACCCAUAACGGACCUGGAGCGGAUACUGAAUCCUAAUCGGUUCUGGAACCAAUCAUGAACUCAUCCUGGUUCUGAAACCGACCGUAAACCCAUACCGAUCCUACAACUGAUGCUGAACUCAUACCAGUCCUGAAAUCGCUUCCGAUGUUAUUUCGUUCCUGGAACAGUACCUGGACAUGUUUCGGAUUAGAAUCGAAACAUGAACCGGAUUCGUAACUAGUCCGGAUCUGGAACCGAUAGAGUCCCAGUUCCGAUCGAGGAACUGAUUCUGCUGGUCGACAAACCAUACCCCGCAGUAUCAGUGCAGCGUAGCAACUAGCGUAGGAGCUUUAGCUCAAUUUGUACAGUAAUACUUCUUUGAUUUCGCAACAUUGGAGAUGUGAUAUUGUGGGCUGCGAAGGUUGUCUUAAGCGCGAAAGCGUUCUGUUUCUGCGAUCCUGUUAAAUUAAACGUGCUAUGCUUGCGAAAACAAGUAAAAAAACCUGUAAGCCGCUGCUAUACUGUAUGUUGUUGUUAGUAUGGUUUAGAGAGACUUUGGCUCCUGCGGAGUUCUUUCGCCUAAAGCUGCUAUACUGUAUAAUAACUAAAACAAUAUCAAAAAGAUUUAACGUUUCAAUUAUGUGUUGACUCAUACGGCCGUGUUGCCGGCUACCAAUCACGCUAUAAACGCGUCCAAACACGUUCAAUAUCAAGUAACCCGACCGAACGAUACACUCUCCGAGAACUUGUCAAAAUGUCGGCACGCGCAACGCUGCUUCCCCAUCAGAUUCACGUGUACAAGUGCACUCGUUUUUUUGGCGCCAAAACGUGUUGAUGAAGCAGUGAAUAGAGAUAGUGCACAUGUUUCAAUGGAACUACUGUUGAAUUAUUUGCUUAUUGUGAUUCGUUAAUUCUGUUUAGUUUGCUUAUCGUGUUUGGUCGAUAAAAAUAAAUAAAUAAUGAAAUAAAAUUAAUAAAAUUUACAAAAAUAGUAUCAAGUAACGAUUUUUCAGUUCAUUAAUCAAUUGAAAGAUCGUUACUUGAUUAAUUCAAUAAUCUUCUUUUGUAAUUGCUGUAAAUGUUGAUAAUUUCGGCAGGUAAAUAAAAAGUUUGGAUUUUAAUUUUGAAAAAAUAAAAUAAUACUUUAAAAAUAAUUUUACCAACACGCUAUCUCGAAUCGCUCCUUUAGUUGGCACUCAUCGACAUUGGUCGUGUAGUAUUCGUACACCACUCACGCGCUGCGUUUUUGAGAGCUCUAUUCGGGUGCUUCAGGGCAUGCGCUCGGGUUGCGUGAGUGCUCCACGAGGGCCUCCUGGUACAAUGCAUGCCACUGUUUUAUGUGCAACAUAUUUUAGGCGUUUUUGAAUGUUUUGAUGUGCUUAUUAGGAGAAAAGGCUGCUAUAACGUGAUUUAAAAUCAUGAAAUAUUAACGUUGGCAUCAUAUGAUACAUGAAUCUAGCUAUAUAAAGCAGUCUUGGCUGUAAUUCACGUGUAUAAUUGUGAUAAAUACGUAUGUUUAGAAAUUUUCAGUUCGAAUAAAUGUUGAUUUUUAGUUUUAAAUUAUUACCAUGCCCUUUCGUGUUAAACAUUGCUAUUUUACACUUUUUUGUAUUUGUUAAAUAAAAUAAUUUUCUUUUCAAUCUAACCUAAUUAGUAAGCCGGCAGUGUAAAUUCUGGCUCACUCGGGAGGAAAAUGAGCUCUACUACUUCUAAAAUUGGCAUGCGCUACGACUUUGAGCACCUUUGAGUGUCAUAAAACCGGUUAUUUGGCACUCACAGAUCAUGAGAUGCUUGGCAAUUUAUCCAUUCCCCACUGUGCCGGUAUUGCCAAUGGUCACUCACUUAGUUAUAAUUGGAUUCUCGGCUCAGCCGGCCGGUCGCUAAUUGAACAGCACGUGAUAGCAAAGAGCUGCGUUCGCCUAAAACUGUUUAACGAAUUGCAGCACUCAUUUUGUGGAGCUCUUCAAGUUGGAUCCCAAAUAUGCACGGAGUGAGUCUGUCUGCUCGUGGGGGUAAACUUAACCCUUACAUCAAACAGAAACAUACCUUGCUACAAUUCACCAAUAUCAUUUCACUUACUGAUUCACAUAUAGCAGGACAGCCAGGAUAGCGUAGUGCUCGAUCCAUACGAGACUAGUCAACCGUACACCGAAGGGUUAAGCCGGCCGGCUUGCAUGCACACACACAGUACUUUCACUCGCAAUAAAAUCCGUUAGGCUUGAAAUACCGGUCUGGUGGUACAGUCGUGAACUCGUACGACUAAACAACAUGCCCGCCAUGGGUUCAAGCCUCGAAUGGACCGUGGCCCCAUGCAUAGGACUUGACUAUCCUGUUAUGUGUAAUCAGUCAGGCGUUUAAACGACAUUGCGACGAACUCUAGUAUACAGAUGCGUGCCAGUAUGGACCUUGAAAAUACUGACCCCGCUGCUGAACUGCCUGCCAUGAUGGGUCAUUGAAAUUAAGUAGUGUAAAAGCAUUUUAAAUAAAACCCUUUAACACCAA